rnacentral:rRNA from 1 species
GAAUCGGAGGAAGGUGGGGAUGACGUCAAGUCAUCAUGGCCCUUAUGUCCAGGGCGACACACGUGCUACAAUGGCCGGCACAACGGGAAGCGAGUUCGCGAGGACGAGCGGAUCCCUCAAAGCCGGUCGCAGUUCGGAUUGAAGUCUGCAACUCGACUUCAUGAAGCUGGAAUCGCUAGUAAUCGUGGAUCAGCCAAGCCGCGGUGAAUACGUUCCCGGGCCUU